rfam:Osedax symbiont Rs1 5221_67, whole genome shotgun sequence.
GGUCAAGUGACUAAGCGUGCACGGUGGAUGCCUAGGCAGUCAGAGGCGAAGAAAGACGUUGUAACCUGCGAUAAGGUGAGGGGAGCUGGUAAACAAGCUUUGAUCCUCACAUUUCUGAAUGGGGAAACCCACUCUAUUUAUAGAGUAUCCCAUAGUGAAUACAUAGCUAUGAGGAGGCGAACCCGGGGAACUGAAACAUCUAAGUACCCGGAGGAAAAGAAAUCAACCGAGAUUCCCUAAGUAGCGGCGAGCGAACGGGGAACAGCCCUUAAGCUGUAUAGAAGUUAGUGGAACAAGCUGGGAAGCUUGGCCGUAGUGGGUGAUAGCCCCGUACACGAAAACUUCUUUACAGUGAAAUCGAGUAGGACGGGACACGUGAUAUCCUGUCUGAAUAUGGGGGGACCAUCCUCCAAGGCUAAAUACUCCUGACUGACCGAUAGUGAACCAGUACCGUGAGGGAAAGGCGAAAAGAACCCCUGUGAGGGGAGUGAAAUAGAUCCUGAAACCGUGUACGUACAAGCAGUGGGAGCGGUCCUUGAGACCGUGACUGCGUACCUUUUGUAUAAUGGGUCAACGACUUAAUUUCAGUAGCAAGCUUAACCGUAUAGGGGAGGCGUAGGGAAACCGAGUCUUAAUAGGGCGUAUAGUUGCUGGGAUUAGACCCGAAACCGAGCGAUCUAUCCAUGGGCAGGUUGAAGGUUGAGUAACAUCAACUGGAGGACCGAACCGACUACCGUUGAAAAGUUAGCGGAUGACCUGUGGAUCGGAGUGAAAGGCUAAUCAAGCUCGGAGAUAGCUGGUUCUCCUCGAAAGCUAUUUAGGUAGCGCCUCGUGUCUCACCAUUGGGGGUAGAGCACUGUUUCGGCUAGGGGGUCAUCCCGACUUACCAACCCGAUGCAAACUCCGAAUACCAAUGAGUGCAAUCACGGGAGACACACGGCGGGUGCUAACGUCCGUCGUGGAAAGGGAAACAACCCAGACCGUCAGCUAAGGUCCCAAAGUUACAGUUAAGUGGGAAACGAUGUGGGAAGGCUUAGACAGCUAGGAAGUUGGCUUAGAAGCAGCCAUCUUUUAAAGAAAGCGUAAUAGCUCACUAGUCGAGUCGGCCUGCGCGGAAGAUAUAACGGGGCUAAAACUGUACACCGAAGCUACGGACGCAUGAGUAACGAUAAGGGGGGUGAAAAACCUCCCCGCCGGAAGACCAAGGGUUCCUGUCCAACGCUAUUCGAGGCAGGGUGAGUCGGCCCCUAAGGCGAGGCAGAGAUGCGUAGUCGAUGGGAAGCGGGUUAAUAUUCCCGCACAUUUUAUAACUGCGAUGGAGAGACGGAGCAGGCUAGGCGAGCGCGGCGAUGGUUGUCCGUGUUUAAGCCCUUAGGCAGAGAUCUUAGGUAAAUCCGGGAUUUCCACUUUAAUGUGAAUGCUGAGAGGUGAUGACGAGGCUCUACGGAGUUGAAGUCGUUGAUGCCAUACUUCCAGGAAAAUCUUCUAAGCUUCAGGUUAUAAAGUACCGUACCCCAAACCGACACAGGUGGUCAGGUAGAGAAUACUAAGGCGUAUGAGAGAACUCGGGUGAAGGAACUAGGCAAAAUGGUGCCGUAACUUCGGGAGAAGGCACGCCAUUGAUGGUGAUGGGAUUUACUUCCUAAGCUGUCGAUGGUCGAAGAUACCAGGUGGCUGCGACUGUUUAUUAAAAACACAGCACUGUGCAAACACGAAAGUGGACGUAUACGGUGUGACGCCUGCCCGGUGCCGGAAGGUUAAUUGAUGGGGUUAGCUUCGGCGAAGCUCUUGAUCGAAGCCCCGGUAAACGGCGGCCGUAACUAUAACGGUCCUAAGGUAGCGAAAUUCCUUGUCGGGUAAGUUCCGACCUGCACGAAUGGCGUAACGAUGGCCACACUGUCUCCACCCGAGACUCAGUGAAAUUGAAAUCGCUGUGAAGAUGCAGCGUCCCCGCGGCUAGACGGAAAGACCCCGUGAACCUUUACUAUAGCUUCACACUGGACUUUGACAUUAUUUGUGUAGGAUAGCUGGGAGGCAUUGAAGCAUGGUCGCUAGAUCGUGUGGAGCCGAACUUGAAAUACCAGCCUGAUAAUGUUGAGGUUCUAACUCAGUUCCCUAAGCGGGAUCGAGGACAGUGUGUGGUGGGUAGUUUGACUGGGGCGGUCUCCUCCCAAAGAGUAACGGAGGAGCACGAAGGUACCCUCAGCAUGGUCGGAAAUCAUGCAAUGAGUGCAAGCGCAUAAGGGUGCUUAACUGCGAGACAGACACGUCGAGCAGGUACGAAAGUAGGUGCUAGUGAUCCGGUGGUUCUGUAUGGAAGGGCCAUCGCUCAACGGAUAAAAGGUACUCCGGGGAUAACAGGCUGAUUCCUCCCAAGAGUUCACAUCGACGGGGGAGUUUGGCACCUCGAUGUCGGCUCAUCACAUCCUGGGGCUGAAGCCGGUCCCAAGGGUAUGGCUGUUCGCCAUUUAAAGUGGUACGCGAGCUGGGUUUAGAACGUCGUGAGACAGUUCGGUCCCUAUCUGCCGUGGGCGUUUGAGAUUUGAGAAGAGCUGUUCCUAGUACGAGAGGACCGGAAUGGACGAACCUCUGGUGUUCCGAUUGUCACGCCAGUGGCAUUGUCGGGUAGCUACGUUCGGACGGGAUAACCGCUGAAAGCAUCUAAGCGGGAAGCCUCCUUCAAGAUGAGAUCUCGCUGGGUCCUUGAGACCCCUAAAGAGCCGUUCAAGACUAGGACGUUGAUAGGUUGGGUGUGUAAGGGCUGUGAGGUCUUGAGCUAACCAAUACUAAUUGCUCGUGAGGCUUGACCAU